GGGGGGGUGUUCACUUUCAUUAUGUUUUAAAGGAGACAUAACAUGAAAAACCCACUUUUUUAUCCAUUAACACAGUGUGUUUCACAUUUUAAGUGUCUAAGUGAGCAAAAAGGCUUAUAUUAUUCACUGGAGUUGCUAUUUAGAUAUUUAAUAAUUAAGUUUUGGGCAUAUUUGUCCACCCGUUCAGUUUUUCACAUUAUCUAUUACAUCAGUAAUUUAUUUCGUCAGGAUAACUACCAAAUAUGGUAAUGGCCCUCGGCUAAACACAGAGCCAAUCUGCCAUUUUUUCUUCUCGCUAAGAUUUUUUGUAGUCCUAUUGGAAAAAUGCAGAAUGUCUGGUUAUUUUAGCCACACACAGCUCAAAACUGUUCCUCGUUUUAAGGAAGGGUGGUGUGGCAGUAUUUAAACCCAGGAGCUGAUGACACUACUGCUAAAAAAACACAGAAGAAAAAGUAGUGUGUUUGUGUUUGUUUGUGUGUGUGUGUGUGUGUGUGUGUGUGUGUGUGUGUGCGUGCGUGCGUGGUUCGUUCGUUCUGUCUCCAGGCUAGUGGCUAAGUACUGAGGGCUCCAUCUGAAUUUGGCAGCACCGGGACACAGCAGCAGAGCGGUAAGCUUCAUAUAACUCUAAAAUGUCGACAAACUUUACUUUAGAUUUACGGGCAUUAGCAGCACUAAAGCGUUAGCAUCCGGCUUGCUAUCGCUAGCACAGUAUGCUAGUAAAGUUAGCACCUAGAUUAAUGUGGAUUUGGCUGAUUUUCGUGGAAUAAAACGUGAUUUCUGAUCAACGCCUUCUUUUACACCAGAUGAUAACCUCCCACUGAUUGUAACAGCAGAGAGCCUGUGUGUUAUUCUACGUGAGUGUGAUGUAAUCUUAGCAUCCAGCAAAUAAAGUCCCAUAUCAGCUAAAAUGCAGCGUGACAAAGUCAUUAAAGUGCGUCAACACAGUGGAUUUAAUAGAGUUUUAAAGAACGAUCUCUGAGUGGAGUGAGGUUAGUUUUUUUGUCUCACUGCAGAUAUAAAAACUAACUCUGCAUCAGUCAGACGCAGCAAAGCUCACCGUCUGUAUGAGCGUGAGCGUCGGAAAGCUGAUAAAAUCGGCUGUAAAAUAAUUAAAACAAAAGUAAAAAUGCUCCUUUGCUUUUUAGAGUCAACAUCCAGAAGUCUGGAGCCGUGUUUCACUGACAGGCUGUCAGACUAACGCCCUGAUGAGCUCAGCAGGGACAAACUGGUCUGAUGUUUAGGAACACAGAACGUUCAGAUGUUGGCGUUUCACGUCACCUACUGAGGAAGGAGGCUCACCAGUAAAGAGAUGGUAGCUGGACCAGACCAAAAAUAUGGCGAUGACAUCAUGGAACUGGUCUUUGGAAAAGUUUUCCCUGAACCAACUCCGUUUCUAGAUGAGGUAGAGAAGAUCUGCAUCUCACCAACCCUCUGGUCUCAGUAUUCAGACAACGGAGGUCUCCCACUGUUAUCCAGGACCAGUUUGAAGCCCACAUACUGCCCCUCCCUCAUCAUCAGGAAACAUCAAUCCGUUUCCUGAGGACAACAGAAGACGGCAGGAGGACAGGAACUCUGUGACCUAGAUACCACCAGCACCGAGACACAAAGCACCUGUGUGCACAACGCCUGUUUAACUACUAAAGCCUGUUUAUUAUAUUGUUCUACUUAUUUGCUGUGAGGUUAAUACU